rnacentral:lncRNA from 1 species
GCAAAAGGAAUCCUAACAAACAGACUGGCAGGUUGGGGUGGAUAUGGCAUCCUUAAGUUGGAAGUAUUGUUUUAUUAUACCAGCUUUGGGGCAGUGCCUGUCAGAGCAUCAGUUCAGCAGUGUUCAUGCAAGUAGCCUCGUGUAAUGCUGACUGUUGUCUAGCAAGUUGCCACACCAGCUGAGAAGAUCAAGGAGACAUGCAAAUGCUCAGGAACACAUACAGAGGUCUUCUACUUACCUGAGAGGAGAAGAGCUACAAAGAAUUAAUAUGGUAUGUUCAUCAUUAGUGGCUACAUACUCUGGAAAGUUGUUUCUAGGUAAUCUUUGUUAGCAAACACGCUUCUGUAGUUAGUGAAGGCCUCUAACUGGACACCACAACUUAGCUCCACAGAGGUGCUCCAGAAGAGAAAUGUUUAUUAUCCUUUAAAUGGAAGAAGGGGCAGGGGAAAUCUGGAGCAGGUAGGCAAUACUGCAUGGGACUAGCUCUGCUGCAUGUCUUUAUCUUCGUGUUGUGAACACCCCGACUGUGAAAAGAAGUGUACUCCAUCCCUUGCUGCAAGGGUUGUUGCAAUUUUUAGUUAACUGCUUCAAGCUGAUCUGAGAUACCAGAAUGAAGUGACAUGGAAGGCAAAAUGCCUUUCAAUUCAUCACUUAAAAAAAGCAAUAUAGGUUGCCUGAAAAUAGGACUUUAUCUCAGCUAAGGGCAGAUGAUGAUAAAAGAACUUAGCCUGAUUGCUCAUGUGCUACCUUUUUGACUGGAAAUAAUGAUCUUGGACUGCUGCUCUGCCACAAGCUGUCAUAUGACUUAGGGAAAGUUACUUUUUCUCUGUGCUUCUUUUUUUCCCCUCUCAAUUGCAUAGGUGAUUCUUAAGCUGUUUGAAGAGCAG